rnacentral:rRNA from 1 species
UACGAAGGGGGCUAGCGUUGCUCGGAAUUACUGGGCGUAAAGCGCACGUAGGCGGCUUUCUAAGUCGGGGGUGAAAUCCUGGAGCUCAACUCCAGAACUGCCUUCGAUACUGGAGAGCUUGAGUCCGGGAGAGGUGAGUGGAAUUCCCGGUGUAGCGGUGAAAUGCGCAGAUAUCGGGAAGAACACCGGUGGCGAAGGCGGGUCUCUGGGCAAUAACUGACGCUGAGGAGCGAAAGCGUGGGGAGCGAACAGG